UACGAGGGGGGCAAAUGUUGUUCGGAAUCACUGGGCGUAAAGGGCGCGUAGGCGGCCUGAUAAGUAGGGGGUGAAAUCCUGUGGCUUAACUGCAGGGCUGCCUCCUAGACUGUUAGGCUCGAGCACGGUAGAGGCAGAUGGAAUUCCCGGUGUAGCGGUGGAAUGCGUAGAGAUCGGGAAGAACAUCGGUGGCGAAGGCGGUCUGCUGGGCCGUUGCUGACGCUGAGGCGCGACAGCGUGGGGAGCAAACAGG
rnacentral:rRNA from 1 species